rnacentral:rRNA from 1 species
AGUGAACGCUGGCGGUAGGCCUAACACAUGCAAGUCGAACGGCAGCACAGUAAGAGCUUGCUCUUACGGGUGGCGAGUGGCGGACGGGUGAGGAAUACAUCGGAAUCUACUUUUUCGUGGGGGAUAACGCAGGGAAACUUACGCUAAUACCGCAUACGACCUACGGGUGAAAGCAGGGGAUCUUCGGACCUUGCGCGAGUGAAUGAGCCGAUGUCGGAUUAGCUAGUUGGCGGGGUAAAGGCCCACCAAGGCGACGAUCCGUAGCUGGUCUGAGAGGAUGAUCAGCCACACUGGAACUGAGACACGGUCCAGACUCCUACGGGAGGCAGCAGUGGGGAAUAUUGGACAAUGGGCGCAAGCCUGAUCCAGCCAUACCGCGUGGGUGAAGAAGGCCUUCGGGUUGUAAAGCCCUUUUGUUGGGAAAGAAAAGCAGCAGGUUAAUACCCCGCUGUUCUGACGGUACCCAAAGAAUAAGCACCGGCUAACUUCGUG